AGAGUUUGAUCAUGGCUCAGAUUGAACGCUGGCGGCAGGCCUAACACAUGCAAGUCGAACGGUAACAGGAAACAGCUUGCUGUUUCGCUGACGAGUGGCGGACGGGUGAGUAAUGUCUGGGAAACUGCCUGAUGGAGGGGGAUAACUACUGGAAACGGUAGCUAAUACCGCAUAACGUCGCAAGACCAAAGAGGGGGACCUUCGGGCCUCUUGCCAUCAGAUGUGCCCAGAUGGGAUUAGCUAGUAGGUGGGGUAACGGCUCACCUAGGCGACGAUCCCUAGCUGGUCUGAGAGGAUGACCAGCCACACUGGAACUGAGACACGGUCCAGACUCCUACGGGAGGCAGCAGUGGGGAAUAUUGCACAAUGGGCGCAAGCCUGAUGCAGCCAUGCCGCGUGUAUGAAGAAGGCCUUCGGGUUGUAAAGUACUUUCAGCGGGGAGGAAGGGAGUAAAGUUAAUACCUUUGCUCAUUGACGUUACCCGCAGAAGAAGCACCGGCUAACUCCGUGCCAGCAGCCGCGGUAAUACGGAGGGUGCAAGCGUUAAUCGGAAUUACUGGGCGUAAAGCGCACGCAGGCGGUUUGUUAAGUCAGAUGUGAAAUCCCCGGGCUCAACCUGGGAACUGCAUCUGAUACUGGCAAGCUUGAGUCUCGUAGAGGGGGGUAGAAUUCCAGGUGUAGCGGUGAAAUGCGUAGAGAUCUGGAGGAAUACCGGUGGCGAAGGCGGCCCCCUGGACGAAGACUGACGCUCAGGUGCGAAAGCGUGGGGAGCAAACAGGAUUAGAUACCCUGGUAGUCCACGCCGUAAACGAUGUCGACUUGAAGGUUGUGCCCUUGAGGCGUGGCUUCCGGAGCUAACGCGUUAAGUCGACCGCCUGGGGAGUACGGCCGCAAGGUUAAAACUCAAAUGAAUUGACGGGGGCCCGCACAAGCGGUGGAGCAUGUGGUUUAAUUCGAUGCAACGCGAAGAACCUUACCUGGUCUUGACAUCCACGGAAGUUUUCAGAGAUGAGAAUGUGCCUUCGGGAACCGUGAGACAGGUGCUGCAUGGCUGUCGUCAGCUCGUGUUGUGAAAUGUUGGGUUAAGUCCCGCAACGAGCGCAACCCUUAUCCUUUGUUGCCAGCGGUCCGGCCGGGAACUCAAAGGAGACUGCCAGUGAUAAACUGGAGGAAGGUGGGGAUGACGUCAAGUCAUCAUGGCCCUUACGACCAGGGCUACACACGUGCUACAAUGGCGCAUACAAAGAGAAGCGACCUCGCGAGAGCAAGCGGACCUCAUAAAGUGCGUCGUAGUCCGGAUUGGAGUCUGCAACUCGACUCCAUGAAGUCGGAAUCGCUAGUAAUCGUGGAUCAGAAUGCCACGGUGAAUACGUUCCCGGGCCUUGUACACACCGCCCGUCACACCAUGGGAGUGGGUUGCAAAAGAAGUAGGUAGCUUAACCUUCGGGAGGGCGCUUACCACUUUGUGAUUCAUGACUGGGGUGAAGUCGUAACAAGGUAACCGUAGGGGAACCUGCGGUUG
rnacentral:rRNA from 1 species